rnacentral:tRNA from 1 species
UUCUAAUUGGCAGACUAGUGCAUUAAGUUUAAGCCUUAAGUAUGAACUUCCAAUCAAUCUAAAG